CAAGAAGUAGCUUAAAAUCAAAGCACUCUGCUUACACCCGAGCCAUGCUCAUCUUCCAACCGAGCCUUCUUGA
rnacentral:tRNA from 1 species